rnacentral:rRNA from 1 species
CCGUAGCCUGCUUUGCCAGUUUUCGGUUAAAUCCAUACGCUUAACGUAUGGGCUGCCGGAAAUACUACAAAGCUAGGGAGUGGGAGAGGUAGACGGUACUCGGUAGGAAGGGGUAAAAUCCUUUGAUCUAUUGAUGACCACCUGUGGCGAAGGCGGUCUACCAGAACACGUCCGACGGUGAGGGAUGAAAGCUGGGGGAGCAAACCGGAUUAGAUACCCGGGUAGUCCCAGCUGUAAACUAUGCAAACUCGGUGAUGCAUUGGCUUGAUGCCAAUGCAGUGCCGCAGGGAAGCCGUUAAGUUUGCCGCCUGGGAAGUACGUACGCAAGUAUGAAACUUAAAGGAAUUGGCGGGGGAGCACCACAAGGGGUGAAGCCUGCGGUUCAAUUGGAGUCAACGCCAGAAAUCUUACCCGGAGAGACAGCAGAAUGAAGGUCAAGCUGAAGACUUUACCAGACAAGCUGAGAGGUGGUGCAUGGCCGUCGCCAGCUCGUGCCGUGAGAUGUCCUGUUAAGUCAGGUAACGAGCGAGAUCCCUGCCUCUAGUUGCCACCAUUACUCUCAGGAGUAGUGGGGCGAAUUAGCGGGACAGCCGUAGUUAAUACGGAGGAAGGAAGGGGCCACGGCAGGUCAGUAUGCCCCGAAACUCUGGGGCCACACGCGGGCUGCAAUGGUAACGACAAUGUGUUCCGAAUCCGAAAGGAAGAGGUAAUCCAGAAACGUUACCACAGUUAUGACUGAGGGCUGCAACUCGCCCUCACGAAUAUGGAAUCCCUAGUAACUGCGUGUCAUUAUCGCGCGGUGAAUACGUCCCUGCUCCUUGCACACACCGCCCGU